GUGAUAUGGUUGUGGUAACUCGAUUUAGGGGCAAAGAGGGGAGGGCUGACAGUGUGAGCCCAAACCUUGUUAUACCAUUUAUCCUUAGGGCCAGAGAACGGUUUUGGAAAAGUUAGCAAGUCAAAGGUUUAGUGGAUGAGAGGCCUCUGUCAAGUCUUGUGCAAAAAUUGCUUUUUUUUUCCAGUGUCAAUUUACUGUUUUUAAGUGGGUUUACUCCAGAGUACUAUUACCAUAUGUACUUUCUCAUCCCUCUCUUCUUUUUACUAAUCUUGCUCAGCACAUGAGUUGAUUGUAGUAGUAAAUGGUUUGGCCAAACAUAUGGCAAUGGACAGAAUUAAGGUCCUGGUAAGUAGAGAGAUCAGGCUGUCUUCUGCAUGCCCUCUUGGUCAGUAAAAUCCCAUACACACCAGUGCUACUCUGUUUCCGGAUGUCCACCAUGCCUUGCAUCCCACCAGCCAGGCUGCAGGAAGAGGGGUAAAGCAGCGAGGCUGUUUCCUCCAGGCUGAGCUGCUCCACAGCUCCUUUAGAAGAAAGCAAAUCCUUUGCUACCUUUCUUUUGGUCUGCCUCCUGUUGGCUUCCCCUUCCUCAGCACCAGGAGCUGGUUGAGCCCACUAAUAACUCCAUUCUUCAUCAGUGCCACUGAAUGGGCAUUUUACAAGGCAAAGUUUGACUUAAAGCUCUUAGUAAAAGAAAGAAAUCCUUUUUAUAAUUACAUGAAAAGGACAAUUAUUUUCUCGCAUUGGGAUGAGAUCAGAAUUGGGCUUUCUGCAAUUUUUAUGUCCAAUAUAGAUUUGAUUUACCACAAUCCCCUGAUGAUUUUGGUGCUGAUAAAUAAAUGUAUUUAUAUGUUGUGCUCUUACAUUCCUAGUACUAACUGAGGAAGCAGAACAAUAACAUACUCUUGUCAAUACAAGCACUGCCCUGGGAAUUGACUAAUUAACAUAAAACUCAGCCCUGCAGGGACAUUUCCAGGUUCAUUUUUUGCUGCUUCAGCAAACUAUAGGGUUUGAGCUGUUAACUACUUUCAGAUGCUCUUUGUCUCUGAAGAAAGAAAUAAAGAACAUCCACGUUGCUUUAGGCAAGUUAAUGAUUCUACAGAACACUUACCUUUUUACCAUAUGCUUCAUGGUGGAUUAAAAUCCUGAAGGAGUUGAGGAUUAUAUAGCAUGUAUAGUCCUUUGGCAGAAAAACACUUACUCUGAACUAAAAGUGAAUGGCUGAAUGUGACAUUUAUAUUCAUUGUUUUUCCAGAACUGCGUACUGAGGAUGUUUGAAUUUACUCAAAAUAAUUCUUCCAGUAAUCCCAAAGCAGAGGUUUUGUAGGUGCUUUGAUUUCACGUGUUGUCUUAAGGUUAUGACAAAUAGUUCACAGUGGCUACUGGGAAAACUGGAGAAGUUUGCAUAUUCACUUCUGCAAAGUUAGAAGGAAAUCUGGCCUAACUUGGCAAAGGGAUGUGCUUACAGUUUUGAGGAACACAUAAUACUUGGGUUUUUGUGUGUCUGUGUGAUUUACUUUUCACUCAUGUUCAUUCCCUUGGAUGACAAAAGCAAAGUUUCUUGUCUACAGGAAAAAAUAGGAAAUAAAAGAGAAGGAAAGUCAAACUAAAUAAGGCUUUAAUCUCACAGAUAAAGAAAAAAACUUUCCCUCCUUCUUGUAGUGUUUGCUGUUAUUAUAGACUGUUCUUAAUUUCCACAUGUGCCCAUUGCUUUUGUUUAUGAAUGAACAAAAUGACAUACUGCAGUUCACAGAAAUCAUCUGUAGAAAGAAACAAGGGAAUAAUUUUCUAUCACUGCUGAAAACUCUUCAGUAGAUCUUCAUGUGCUGCAGCUAAAAGGACCUGAAAAUUACAUUUUGAAUGAGCACAUAUACUUUCAAAGUAUUUUGUCAGAGCAGAAAGCUAAGUACACGUGCAAAAUGCACAUUUGAGAAAGCCGAAGUCACAGCACUUGCAGAUACACACAAUAUUCAUAGUUUUGUUUUGUACAUACAUUUACUUGUUGGUGCAUGAAUACAUAAAUUUUGUGAGUGUGCUUCAGGCAUUAGUAUGAGAAGCCGUGUGUAUAUAUGUGACUGUUUGUGCCUAUUAGCACAAAUUAUUACAAUUGCUCAUACCUAUCUGAUCCUGCUGUAUAGGCUUCAUAGGCUUUACCCAUUUGGAAUAAAAUUACACGAUGUAUGUCUGCCUGCACAUUUUUUUUUCCCCCAGCAGUUUUCAAACACAAUAAUUCAAUAUUUGCUAAAAAAGGAAGAAAAAUACCUUGUAAAACACAUAAUGUUUUACUCUUUAUCAGGCAAUGUGGAAAGGUUUCAUUUGUAUUGCUGUGUCUCUUGGGCUUCAGAACAGGAAAGCGCUCAUUCAAAAUGUAACGUCCAAGUCCUUUUAGCUACAGCACAUAAAGGUCUACUGAAAAGUUUUCGGCAGUGAUAUGAAAUGAAGUGGGAUAACUUAGAGAAGUCAGGAGGAUGAGAGGAAAUAAAAACAAAUAUGGGGCCAGUAAGUAGCCAGGACUAUCUGCCAGGACAAGGUGACUCCUGGGAAAAGGAAAGAGAGAUGAGUGACUACAGCAUGAGGAGUCAGAAGUAGGGAAAAGGAAAUACUGCUAUAGUAGUAUUUUGAAUAGGAUGAGACAGCAAGUGUCAGGGUGGUCAGACAAAAAACAGCCUUGGUGCCCUUCUAGUACUUGGAGCAGUACUAAAUGUUUGUGAAAGUCACUUGGGAAGAUUUUCAGUUCCUCUAAUCUCCAUCCACAUUAGCAGCAGCAAUCUACUUCUGCCAUUGUUUACUAGAACAACUGUCAUGCCAGUUUGCAGAGAUCUGUGCAAUGGACUUCAGUGUUUCCAGUAUUGCUGAUUCUGGGAGUCAGCAAAUGCAAAGAUGCUAGAAAUAUGUCGAUGAAGUAUUGCUAUUCCUGUUUAUUUGUAUGCUCUCAUGAUCAGUAAAAUAACUUUCCUUAAUUUAGUCUGCCUUUACUCUUCAUGGAAAGCUUAAGGAAAACUAGGCAUAAGCAGCUUGGUUUCAUUCAAUUUUUCUAUGGAGGUCUCAUCCUGCACACACCAAUGGUGGCCAUCUAUCAUAUAUUUACAUUAUGUUGAAAUGAAGGGAACAUGACAUUUUUCCUUUAUUGUCAGGAGGUGUCAAAAGUAUUAAUAGCAUAAUUUUUGCUAGCUGGCUAAAAUUCUCACACUGCAAUCUUGUGCAUCAGCAUUUUUUUUUUUUUUAAACCACAGAUGGUCAUUUAUGUAACACUGUUGGAAAUUGUUGCCAUGUUCCACAGCAACAGGAAAAUGGGAUACAUCUGCACUUUGUGGGGAAAAAUACAAAUGAACUAGAAGCUAAGCAAACAUUUAAAUUACAGGGAAACGGGACUGCGAUAAGCCCUGGUCUGCAUGAGCAGGAAGAGAGUGUCAGCCUCACCCAUACCCUGAAAAAAUGCUCACAUUUAUGGGCCACUCUAUUGUACUGAGUGGAAGUUUGUUUAUGCGGGACCUUCCUUCCCUCAGGACUUCCUCUGAGAGGAAAUGUCGUCACCAUUUAGUAGGAGUCAAUUGUUAUGCAUUCAAAACUCAAACAUAAAAUAGUAUCCCCGAAUGCAACGAAGUGCAAAGGAAUAAAUAAGAUUUAUGCAUUUACAUAUUUGGAAACAUUUACAAAAGUUGUUCUUGCUCACUAAGACUUUCAGAGAACUGGGUAAAAGCUAAUAAUGCUUGAUGCUCUAUGGCCGAUGUGGGAAUAUGUUUAAACAGAAGGCUGAAAAUCAGUUUGCAGCUGUAAAACCAGGGUCAUGCUCUUAUGGGAAUACUUGGCUAAGUCUGUUCCAUGUUUUGUACUGAAUGGCUCUGGAUCUGAAGCGCUCUGGUGACAGUACUCUGCUGUUGAGAGAUGACCUUUCUGAAACCAGAAAAUACCUACAGAGCUGAAGACCUGAAUGCACAGGUUGAACUGGACUGUGCUUAUGGCCAGCAGGCAACCUAUGUCCACAAGGGGAAUGAAUCCAGGCAGUUUUCUUUGACAUAAAAAGGAAGAAGACUGAAUGUCUGUGAGGCAGAAUUAUAUACCUGGGUUAAAAGCAAGAGCACCCACAGGUAUGGACUAAAGGGUGGUUGUGUGAACACACACCUUCUACAGAACAGAGAAGAAUUGUGAAGGCCUCUUCCCUCUAGAACACCCAGUUCUGCUUGGGAAGAAUGUAAGUCUGCCUUCAACUUGUGGAUACACAAGAACAUACACCUUAAUCCAUGUAGGAAAACUCCUGGACUGAAAUACGUCUCCAUCCAAGAAGACUACCUGAGUAUCAACAAGUGUGCCACACAUCAGCAGUGGCUGUAGAAGACCAAACAUCUUCAGAGAAACUACUCUGAGAUCAUUCUGCUCCUCAACUCCACCACUGAAGCUGAACUGCAUCCCUAUUUAGCAAGUUUUAAUAAUCUGCCUCGGAAGAGGAUGGUUCCUGAAAACAGAUGUAUAGCUCUCUUUCAAUCACUCUAUAUAUCCAUAAAUUAAUUCCCUUUUUGUUAGGUUGCAUGUUAUGUUAAGAAGUUCUUUAAGCUAGCUUCCCAAGCAGGCUUCUAACUGACCACUAAGUAUAGGUCACAACGCAGGAUGCAGUUGCGUCCCAGUUCCCCAGCCAGACCACAGACUAUGCGGACUCCUCUCCUCUCCUCUAAUGGGGCACUUGGGAGUUUCCAUUGGUCUGAAGAAGAGUUUCUUGUUGUGAAUGUGACUGGUUCUACUUCACCUGAGUCUCAUGACAGUGUUUUUAAUGAUCAAGACCUCAAUUUUACUUAAGAUACUAAAAAAAAUUUCUAUCUUCUGUAAUAAAAAAAAUGAAAAAGUGGAGCCCCUCUAAACUGCAGAAUCUAGGAUUCAGAUAAAAUACUUUCCACCACCUUAUUUUUAAGGUACUUACAGUUUAUACAAAACCUCUCCUCCUUCUUUAGUAUCAUUUUCCAUGUGUGUUUUUUUUUUUUGCUUUUUUUUCCAAGAGAAAAUGGAGGUAAGGGAAUUCACUUACACUUUUUUACUUAUUUUUUUCUUGUUUGAGGCUGACAAUAGGCAUUUGCCAGCCUUUUGACUAUAACUAAAAUCAGGGUCAUGCUGAUUUCAUUAGAAGCGAAAUAAAGAACAACUAGUCUCAAAAUGGCAGCAGCUACCAAAUCCCUCCCAGAAGAAAGUCAGGUCAGCAUGCCACGAUGUAUCUGAACCCAAGACAAUGGGAAGGUGACUUCUUUCUCAUCACACUCAGGACAGUGCUAAGGGAAAGGCUGGGAUGAGACCCUCAGAGGAGGCACAGCCUGCCCGACAGUAUGGGCAGCGUUUGGUGGAUUUGAGGAAUUUGCAGUGCAUGCCAUAUCAACUGUUUCCUCUAAGUAUUUCAAAAGGAGUGCAAGAAGCUUUGCUUUUCCCUCUCAUAAGCCCUACAGUCUGAAGGUAACAGUCUGAUGCUGGACAAUACGGGAUGUUCAUUUCUUGUGUAACUCUUAGCUUUUUGCUUGUGUAAUUUUAGAUGAUAUGAGUAAUUGUUUUUUUCCUGCUUUCUUUUCUGUCUUUCUUGCAUCAGUGGAAAUAAAAUAUCAGAAGUAUGGGAAUACUGUAGCAAUUGGAAAGAGUGAAAACAGUGGUUUUCUUGGAAUAAAUUUUCAUGCUACAGGGGUUAGAAGCAAAUGAAGCUAAAAAAUGACAAAAGAGAGCGCCCUUAUACAUACAUUUUCUCUUAUUCCAUUCUUAGCUAUCAAAGAUCUGAAGUUACUAAAUUUACUGCAAAAACAAUUAUUUUUCCAGUCUCUGGGCAGACGGGUGAAGGAUUAGGGUUCUAUUGCAUGAUUGGUUUCUUUCUAUUAUUAUUAGUAGUAGCAGUUUUAGUGCUGUCAGUAUAUUCAGUGCCUUUUUAGUUUGGCUUCUGUUGCUCAAGAAGGAUUGCAAAAGACUUAUUUCUAUUCUG
ensembl:lncRNA